GUAAGGAAUAUUGGACAAUGGACGCAAGUCUGAUCCAGCCAUGCCGCGUGAAGGAUUAAGGUACUCUGGAUUGUAAACUUCUUUUAUAAGGGACGAAAAAAGGCUUUUCUAAGUCGUCUGACGGUACCUUAUGAAUAAGCACCGGCUAACUCCGUGCCAGCAGCCGCGGUAAUACGGAGGGUGCAAGCGUUAUCCGGAUUCACUGGGUUUAAAGGGUGCGUAGGCGGGCAGGUAAGUCAGUGGUGAAAUCCUAGAGCUUAACUCUAGAACUGCCAUUGAUACUAUCUGUCUUGAAUAUUGUGGAGGUAAGCGGAAUAUGUCAUGUAGCGGUGAAAUGCUUAGAUAUGACAUAGAACACCUAUUGCGAAGGCAGCUUACUACGCAUAUAUUGACGCUGAGGCACGAAAGCGUGGGGAUCAAACAGGAUUAGAAACCCCGGUAGUCC
rnacentral:rRNA from 1 species